rnacentral:rRNA from 1 species
UACGUAGGGUGCUAGCGUUGUUCGGAAUCAUUGGGCGUAAAGCGCGUGUAGGCGGUUAGUUAAGUCAGAUGUGAAAAUCCCUGGGCUCAACCGAGGAAGUGCAUUUGAAACUAAUUAGCUAGAAGACGGUAGAGGAAGGUGGAAUUCCAAGUGUAGAGGUGAAAUUCGUAGAUAUUUGGAGGAAUACCGGUGGCGAAGGCGGCCUUCUGGACCGUUCUUGACGCUGAGACGCGAAAGCGUGGGGAGCAAACAGG